UUGAACAUAAUUCACAACUGAAUUCACAAAGCAGUAACAGGUAACUGCGCAGCAGACUUUCAGAUCAGUUCAUUACAUUUUUCAGUCGAAAGUGCAUUACAGGAGCCCAGAGAUGAUCAAAAAUUGAGAGCAGAAGAAAUUUGAGGCUGACCAGGAUCCUGAAGUGAGGAGCAGUCCCUUUCCCAUUUAACAGCAUUCAUGAGCAGAAAAUGGGGAAGCAGAAAUGCUGAGACAGUUCAGAAGAAACAUCACCAGAAGCCACAGCAACAGCAAAGGAAGCUUAUAUGGAAGUAUUUUUGAUUUUCUCCCUACUUUUCCCUACCCCCUGGCCCCUGCUGACUCUAACAUAACUAACCAUCCCCUUCCCUUUCCCCCUCAUUCGUCUUCCUGAAUUCACUGUCAUUGUUUUCUGAUUUUUCAAUGAAUUGUGUUGUACUGAUUUUAUUCACUUGAAUUUUUGUGAUUUGUUGCAUUGUUUUGAAGUCUUACUAAUCUUGUGCCAGUUUAUACUUUCAGGGACUCGGAAGAGGAACAACGAUGGAGGAGCAGGGUCGA